rnacentral:rRNA from 1 species
CUCCUAAAAGGUAACGGAGGCGCUCAAAGGUUCCCUCAGAAUGGUUGGAAAUCAUUCAUAGAGUGUAAAGGCAUAAGGGAGCUUGACUGCGAGACCUACAAGUCGAGCAGGGUCGAAAGACGGACUUAGUGAUCCGGUGGUUCCGCAUGGAAGGGCCAUCGCUCAACGGAUAAAAGCUACCCCGGGGAUAACAGGCUUAUCUCCCCCAAGAGUUCACAUCGACGGGGAGGUUUGGCACCUCGAUGUCGGCUCAUCGCAUCCUGGGGCUGUAGUCGGUCCCAAGGGUUGGGCUGUUCGCCCAUUAAAGCGGUACGCGAGCUGGGUUCAGAACGUCGUGAGACAGUUCGGUCCCUAUCCGUCGUGGGCGUAGGAAAUUUGAGAGGAGCUGUCCUUAGUACGAGAGGACCGGGAUGGACAUACCUCUGGUGUACCAGUUGUCGUGCCAACGGCAUAGCUGGGUAGCUAUGUAUGGACGGGAUAAGUGCUGAAAGCAUCUAAGCAUGAAGCCCCCCUCAAGAUGAGAUUUCCCAACUUCGGUUAUAAGAUCCCUCAAAGAUGAUGAGGUUAAUAGGUUCGAGGUGGAAGCGUGGUGACACGUGGAGCUGACGAAUACUAAUCGAUCGAAGACUUAAUCAAUUU